rnacentral:tRNA from 1 species
GGGGCGCGGGACUGCUAGGGGUGGUCACCUCCCUUGCAAGGAGACACGCAGCAGGGUUCAAAUCCCUGGCGCUCCA